rnacentral:ncRNA from 1 species
AUAUUUUAUUAUGGUAAUUAGAUUUAUUAUUUAAAUAUUUUAUAUGUAAAUUUUUGUAUGAAUAAUAAUAAUUUAAAAAAUAAGAGUUUAAAUAGUCGCAGUAAUUAAUAUUAUUUAUUUAAGAAAUUAUGAAUUAGUAAUUUAAUUUAAUAUAGGUUUAUUUUGUGCCAGCAAUCGCGGUUAUACAAAAUAUAUGAGUAAAUUAUAUUAGAAAAAGUUAAUUGUAGUGAAUUAUAUAUUAAAGUUUAAUUUAUAUUAUUAAGUGAAAUUUUAAUAUUAUAGAGAGUUUAAUAAAUUUUGUUAUUAAUCUUAUAAAUUUUAUAAAAGACUAGGAUUAGAUACCCUAUUAUUAAAAUAUAAAUAGAUAUUUUAGAUUAGUAUUAAAUAUAUGUAUGAAAUUAAAAUAAUUUGGCGGUAUUUUAGUCUAUUUAGAGGAAUUUGUUUUAUAAUCGAUAUUCCACGUUAGAUCUUACUUAUUUUAUUUAAUUUGUAUAUCGUUGUCAUUAGAAUAUUUUAUAAGAAAAAUAAUUUUCUAAAAUUAUUUAAGAUUUUAUGUCAAAUCAAGGUGCAGUUUAUAUUUAAGUAAAAAUGAAUUACAUUAAUAUUUAAUUAAAUGAAUUAAAGAUUGAAAUAUUUUUAUGAAGGUGGAUUUAAUAGUAAAAAUUAUUAGGGUAUAAAAUUGAUUAUAGCUCUAAAAUAUGUACAUAUCGCCCGUCGCUCUUAUUUUUAAAGUAAGAUAAGUCGUAACAAAGUAGAGGUAUUGGAAGAUGCCUCUAGAUAGA